UUUAAAGUGGCAGAAAUAGAUAUGCGUUGGAUUUAAGACCCAAAGAUGGGUGACCCCUUUAAAA
rnacentral:tRNA from 1 species